rnacentral:rRNA from 1 species
GACGAACCGUGCGAACGUUGUUCGGAAUCACUGGGCUUAAAGGGCGCGUAGGCGGGCUAUCAAGUCCGGGGUGAAAUCCUCCCGCUCAACGGGAGAACGGCCUCGGAUACUGAUGGUCUCGAGGGGGAUAGGGGCACGCGGAACUGUGGGUGGAGCGGUGAAAUGCGUUGAUAUCCAUAGGAACUCCGGUGGCGAAGGCGACUUCCUGGCCUGUUCUUGACGCUGAGGCGCGAAAGCUAGGGUAGCAAACGGG